GUAACAGUCUACUAUUGGCUAUUGCACCACCUACGUAUGCGAAGAAGGCCUCCUGUCGCAGAGGAAAUCUCGCGAACUGCCAAAACGGAUACUGGUUACUCGCUCGAAACAUACGCUCGAAAAUAUAAAGUACACAACGGAGAUCGUCUCUUUGCCAGAAGAAUGUAAACAUCAAAUUAUAAGAAAAAGUGAGACGAACAAUGAGACGGAGCAAGAGUAUUACUGCGUGAAGGAAGUCACAAGAAAACAGAAUCUCAACGAGGAAGGAAUUGCCAUAAUAAGCGUGGAUCAUUUUCAUGUCUUAUGGACUGAAGUAUACCUGUCCGUACAAGAUAAACAGAAAGGACAGCUUGAAUAAAUACAUCAAACGGAUGCAUGAGAUGACCUACGAUGGAUGCGUUCCAUUUAACACUCGCAACGAUGCGAGCCUCAUUCUAUCUUCGUUUAACAUCUAAUAAGUAACAAAAAUAAAAUGACGCUCGCGUCGUUGCGAGCGUUAAGUAGAACGCGCUCAAUUACUAGUGUGACAUAUGCGUCAGGAAGUUCAGUACGACUUUCGAUCUGAAGCGGCAUAAGGUUGUGAUCCAUAUUGACAGGCAAAUAAUAAAUUGUGACGAGUGUGUUUGCGUUAGCAAGUGCCAAGAACCACUAUAUAACCACAAAAGAAGAAAACACUUCAAGUCAGAGUUUUUCUGCAAGAUUUGUAAACGUUAUUUCACAACCAAAGAAAAUCUCGAGCAGCAUGUCCAGAGACACAAAAAUGUAUACUGUACGGUUUACGGAAAACGUCAACAAUGAAAGAUAAUUUGGAGAAGUACAUGCGGCUACAUAUGGUUGAAAAAUAAAAAUUCUGGAAUAUGUACGGCAAGGCAUACGCCCAGAGCAGUAGACUGUACAAGUACACGAAGAAACAAGUCCGCAAUUAUGACAAUUUCUUAAAGAAAAAAGAAAAAAACAUGAUUGUGAACUUUCCGAAGCUCUGCGAGACGAAAGAAAGUGAUCGUUUUGAUCAAACAAAAGAAACAAGAGAAAGGAAGAAAUAAUCUGCUUUUAUAUGUGCAGUUUUCAACGAGAAAGCGUCAUUUAAAACACAUCAACAACAAUCUUUACGUCGUCUUCUCAAGGAAGAUCAUCUUUCUACAAAUAUUAUUACUGAAUUUUGUACUUAUUUUGUAAUUAAUUAUAAUACAUAAGUGCAUUAUUUACUAUAGAAUUAAUAUAAUAUUUUUUUUGUGAAACACGAUAAAACUUGAUACAAUAAUAAAAUUCCAAUCGAUAUGUAAGGUAUUUGCAAACUAGGAAUAACACCUGAAAAUAUAUUUGCCGCUCUUAUCAAGAAAAGCCGAUUCUGCGAGAUUCGUUAUCAUUGUUAUAACUCACUUUGUAAUAUCCACUAAAUUUCUGUACUUGAAAUA